UUAAUACUCCUUCCGUUCCAAAAAUUUUAUCUUAGAUUUGUGUAGAUACGAAUGUAUCUAAUCACAUUUUAGUGUUAGAUACAUCCAUAUCUAGACAAAUCUAAGACAAGAAUUUUGGGACGGAGGUAAUAUGUU
rfam:Triticum aestivum genome assembly, contig: Triticum_aestivum_CS42_TGACv1_scaffold_513811_6BS